CUCCUGAGUCAUCCAAGAGGAUGGAGAACAGUGUGAGCUUUGAGCUGAACAGAAGACUCUCCCUCCUCUGCCUGACCUGCAGAUUGGCUAUACCUCAGCUGGGCUACGAUGGACUCCAAGUUCAAGGUGUCAGCCUGUAGAUGUGAUUCACUUCUGUUCCCACAUGUCUCCACGUUCUCCUUGGACCAGUGGCUACACAGGAUAGGCUGUUCUCAUGGCAACCAGAGGAAUGCAAGAGGCUAAACCCAGCUAUGCAAAUUUCUCUGUCUAGUACUUCCAGUACUGUGUUGAAAAGUGGUGAGAGUGGACAUCCUUGCCUUGUUCCUGAUCUUAGAGGAAAAGCUCUCAAGCUUUC